UACAGAGGGUGCGAGCGUUAAUCGGAAUUACUGGGCGUAAAGGGCGCGUAGGCUGCGGGGCAAGUCGGGUGUGAAAUCUCAGAGCUCAACUCUGAAACUGCACUCGAUACUGCUUUGCUUGAGGACUGGAGAGGAGAUUGGAAUUCACGGUGUAGCAGUGAAAUGCGUAGAUAUCGUGAGGAAGACCAGUGGCGAAGGCGGAUCUCUGGACAGUUCCUGACGCUGAGGCGCGAAGGCCAGGGGAGCAAACGGG
rnacentral:rRNA from 1 species